GUGAAAAUGAAACAUAACAAAGCAAAAAUACACAAAUUAUUGUUGGUUUAUUAAAAUAAAGAAAUUAUAUCGCGUUUUUUUUUUAACACUAACAUGGAAUCAGUAGCGGCAGCGAUAUUACUUGAGGAGGAGAGCAAUGCAUCCGAUAAUGCCGURGCCAGAAUUGAAAGGAGAAGAUUGCUAGAUAUGUGCAAUCCUUUUGAGAUGAGUGCCGAAUUGUUCAAAAAAAAAACUUUAGACUCAACAAGGGUGCUUUCAAGUAUGUCCUAGAUAGUUUCGCGAAAGAAAUUCCAGCAAGUACUUUGACGUCUUUAUCUCCGCUUAAUCGAAUAGUUUCUGCUUAGAGAUUUUUUGAGAAAGGCAGUUACMAACAUGGAGUUGGUACUGAUUACAAGGUAGCAAUGGGUCGUGAGUGGAUAAAAUUUGAGCAGACCGGCGAGGAAAAAAAACAAGUAAAACAGGAGUUUUAUGCGAGGGCAAGCUUCCCAGGAGUCAUAUAAAAACGCAUAUAAAAAUAAUCAAACCGUCUGAAGAGRGUUUUCUAUACUACAAUAGAAAAGGAUUUUACAGCAUCAAUGCUAUGGUGGUAUGCGAUAACAGAUGACGCGCAUUGAUGCGCGGUAUCCAGGAUGCAAUCACGACUCGCAUGUAUGGGGAUUGAGCAAGUUGAACUUUCAGAUGGAACGGCGAUAUCGAGAAGGUGAAAGAAAUACAUGGCUGUUAGGUAUUUAAAUACAUACAAGAGUAAUUACAAUAUGAGACACUCCAAAAAGAGAAAUAUUAUAGAGCGGACAAUUGUGGUCUUGAAGAAUCGUUUUCGAUGCUUGUUGGGUGCUCGAGAA